UUCUUUCAUAUGUCAGAUUAGGGGAAAAAAAAAGAAGUUUUUUGUUUUAAUAAUCUAUAAGAUUAUACGUAUAUCAGCUUCAAUUGAGGAGGAGGGCUUGUUGAACUAUUUAAUAAAGUUUAAAGAGCAUAAUUGUCAAAAUUUAAAGUUCAGACGUUUACUUACAAAGCGACAAAAGUUCAAAAAAAUUCUUUCAAAAUACUAUAUAUAUAUAUAUAUAUAUAUAUAUAGAGUGAGCUGGUAUGCUUCUAGAAGCACAGAGCCUUCCGUGCUUCCAAGUCGUUUUCGAUGUUGAGACUUUCGAAUCGACGAUCGGCUCCGUUAAACUUAAUCUAGAGUAUUUCAAAUUUCAUGAUUUUUUGGCAUCACUAACUGAACGAUCAAAGGGUCACAAAAUCUAUAAUUUUAAUGGCCGAUAUGGUACAUUUGCUCGUUUAACGGUAUAGAAGAAUUCAAAUCAACUAAAUUUUUGUUAAAUUUUUUUUAAAACUAUUUAAAAUAAGAUCUAGACUCUAUAUCUCAAAUAUAAAAAUUGUAUCAUCACUUUUUGAAGGAUAUUCAUUUCCAGCCAUUCAUUUUUCUGUUCACUUGAUGGACAAGAGAACAAUAUCGAAAAUGUGUGAAAUUUGAUUUCCAGAUAGUUUAAAUAGUUUGGAUCAUGUUUAACGGUGCCAAUCAUUAAUUUGAAAGCUCUAUCAUCGAAAAUAAAUCGGUAGUAAAUCGAGCCGUUUACUAUCGAUAGUAUUCUAGCAAAACUAUAUAUAACCGUUUACUAUCGAUAGUUUU
rnacentral:lncRNA from 1 species